UACAGAGGUCCCGAGCGUUUGUUCGGAUUCACUGGGCGUAAAGGGUGCGCAGGUGGCGUGGUAAGUUUGAUGUGAAAGCCCCGGGCUUAACCCGGGAACGGCAUUGAAUACUACCAGGCUUGAGGGUUGGAGGGGGGACUGGAAUUCUUGGUGUAGCAGUGAAAUGCGUAGAUAUCAAGAGGAACACCAGUGGCGAAGGCGAGUCCCUGGACAAUACCUGACACUGAGGCACGAAAGCCGGGGGAGCAAACAGG
rnacentral:rRNA from 1 species